UGGGGACUCGAGUCGAGUGCGGACGGGUGAGUAAUGCAUGGGUAUCUACCGAGAAGUGGGGAAUAACUACUGGAAACAGUGGCUAAUACCGCAUAAUCCAUAUUGGGAAAGCUUUUGCGCUUUUCGAUGAGCCCAUGUCUGAUUAGCUAGUUGGUAGAGUAAAAGCCUACCAAGGCGACGAUCAGUAGCUGGUCUGAGAGGAUGAUCAGCCACACUGGGACUGAGACACGGCCCAGACUCCUACGAGAGGCAGCAGUAGGGAAUCUUGCGCAAUGGACGAAAGUCUGACGCAGCGAUGCCGCGUGAGUGAUGACGGUUCUAGGACUGUAAAGCUCUUUUAUCAGGGAAGAUAAUGACGGUACCUGAAGAAAAAGUCCCGGCUAACUCCGUGCCAGCAGCCGCGGUAAUACGGAGGGGGCGAACGUUAUUCGGAUUUACUGGGCGUAAAGCGAUCGUAGGCGGUUUUGCAAGCCAGAUGUGAAAUCCCCGGGCUCAACCUGGGAAUUGCAUUUGGAACUGCAUCACUAGAAUUAUGGAGAGGAUAGUGGAAUUUCCAGUGUAGAGGUGAAAUUCGUAGAUAUUGGAAGGAACACCAGAGGCGAAGGCGACUGUCUGGCCAUAUAUUGACGCUGAGGGUCGAAAGCGUGGGG
rnacentral:rRNA from 1 species